AUGUUCAUCUUAGCAAAUAAACCAGAACUAGUGAAAGGCAUCUACCACUCUACCUCCAAUCUUGAGGAUGAAAUAGUAGGAGGUAAUAGAGCAGGAAGGUAUUAGAUUAGAAGUGGCAUCAGCCAAUCCAAGGCAAAGUUGUCAACUAAACCAGUUUCUCAUGCAGGCAAAGAAAGCUGUGACAAUAUGGAACCUAGUAGUUACUUUAAAUAAUGUAAUACCAUUACUUUCCUAAAAUGAAUUCCUUCAGGCAUCACAGAGAGAAAACUUCAUAAGUGAUCCUGAAGAAUCUAUGCCCCCAGGUUUAAGAUGGUACGACAAAUGGUAAACUUGAAUUCAAAAUGAUCGUUCCUUUAAAUGUAGUGAUAUUGCUAAAUGCCCAGAACUAUUACUAUCUUACCAUGUUAUGUACAUUGCUGUCAUGAAGUACACUGGGAACAACUCUGGGGGGUAUAAUUAAUAAUGUAAUCAAAUGAAUUAGUACUACAAUUCAGUAUGAGAACAUUGUCAAAGAGAUGAAGGAAAUGUAAACGGUCAUUUUGUCAAAUGUCUUCUGUGAAACUGACUUGUGUGCUAACCAAUGGUUUCAUACAUAAACAUAUUCUCUGUCUUGGUUGCUUCUGUAAUUUCUGAUAUCUCAAUAGAUUUGCGUGGUUAGAGCCAGAUUAAGCCAAUUCCACAUAGUAACUGUUGAAAUUGAAAUCAGUAGGACUAGGAUUGAAAUUAUAACAAAUUCAGCCAAAAUGUUUCAACAGGACUUAAGUGAAAUAGAUUUAGUCUGGAUCCAACCCUACAUAAAAUGUAACUACAGUAGAGUCUCACUUAUCCAAGCCUCGCUUAUCCAUGCUUCUGGAUUAUCCAAGCCAUUUUUGUAGUCAAUGUUUUCAAUAUAUCAUGAUAUUUUGGUGCUAAAUUCGUAAAUACAGUAAUUACAAUAUAACAUUACUGUGUAUUGAACUACUUUUUCUGUCAAAUUUGUUGUCUAACAUGAUGUUUUGGUGCUUAAUUUGUAAAAUCAUAACCUAAUUUGAUGUUUAAUAGGCUUUUCCUUAAUCCCUCCUCAUUAUCCAAGAUAUUCGCUUAUCCAAGCUUCUGCCGGCCUGUUUAGCUUGGAUAAGUGAGACUCUACUGUAAUAAGAAAUUCUUGAUAGGAUUCAGUUUGUCUGGUUAUGCUGGUUUAUGAUGACAACUACUGUACAGUAUAUAAUAAAUGUUCAUUUUUUUGUUCAACAAUAAAUGCGAAUUCUUCUUCAUGGAAAAAUAAGACAUCCCCUGAAAAUAAGACCUAGAGCAUCUUUGGGAGCAAAAAUUAAUAUAAGACACUGUCUAAUUUUUGGGGAAACACGGUAUGUGCCUUCAAAUUGACUCGGACAUAUAAAGACUCUAACAUAGAAUUUUCUUGGCAAAGUCAA
rnacentral:lncRNA from 1 species